GGUCAGGUGGUGUAAUGGUUAACACCCCUGCUAUAUACUGUAUGCAGACGGCCUGGGUUAAAUCCCCAGUCUGCCCA